rnacentral:rRNA from 1 species
AGUCAUAUGCUUGUCUCAAAGAUUAAGCCAUGCAUGUCUAAGUACGAGCCCCCGUACAAAGCGAAACUGCGAAUGGCUCAUUAAAUCAGUUAUGGUUCCUUUGAUCGUUACCCCUUACUUGGAUAACUGUGGUAAUUCUAGAGCUAAUACAUGCGAAACAACGCUGACCUCGCGGGAUGCGUGCUUUUAUUAGGACCAAGACCAAUCCGGGUCUUCGCGGCCCGGUCCCACUGGCGAACUCUGGAUAACUUGGCGGAUCGCACGGCCUCGGCGCCGGCGACGACUCUUUCGAGUGUCUGCCCUAUCAACUUUCGAUGGUACGUUAUGCGCCUACCAUGGUUGUAACGGGUAACGGGGAAUCAGGGUUCGAUUCCGGAGAGGGAGCCUGAGAAACGGCUACCACAUCCAAGGAAGGCAGCAGGCGCGCAAAUUACCCAUUCCCGACACGGGGAGGUAGUGACGAAAAAUAACAAUACAGGACUCUUUCGAGGCCCUGUAAUUGGAAUGAGUACACUUUAAAACCUUUAACGAGGAUCUAUUGGAGGGCAAGUCUGGUGCCAGCAGCCGCGGUAAUUCCAGCUCCAAUAGCGUAUAUUAAAGCUGUUGCAG